rnacentral:rRNA from 1 species
GGAUUCUGGGCGUAAGCGCACGCAGGCGGUCUGUCAAGUCGGAUGUGAAAUCCCCGGGCUCAACCUGGGAACUGCAUUCGAAACUGGCAGGCUAGAGUCUUGUAGAGGGGGGUAGAAUUCCAGGUGUAGCGGUGAAAUGCGUAGAGAUCUGGAGGAAUACCGGUGGCGAAGGCGGCCCCCUGGACAAAGACUGACGCUCAGGUGCGAAAGCGUGGGGAGCAAACAGGAUUAGAUACCCUGGUAGUCCACGCCGUAAACGAUGUCGACUUGGAGGUUGUGCCCUUGAGGCGUGGCUUCCGGAGCUAACGCGUUAAGUCGACCGCCUGGGGAGUACGGCCGCAAGGUUAAAACUCAAAUGAAUUGACGGGGGCCCGCACAAGCGGUGGAGCAUGUGGUUUAAUUCGAUGCAACGCGAAGAACCUUACCUACUCUUGACAUCCAGAGAACUUUCCAGAGAUGGAUUGGUGCCUUCGGGAACUCUGAGACAGGUGCUGCAUGGCUGUCGUCAGCUCGUGUUGUGAAAUG